AACGCGAAGAACCUUACCUACCCUUGACAUGUGGAAUGCCGAAGAGAUUUGGCAGUGCGCAAGAGAACCGGAACACAGGGGCUGCAUGGCUGGAGCGUGGUGAGAUGUUGGGUUAAGCCGCAACGAGCGCAACCCUUGAUUAGUUGCUACGAAAGGGCACUAAUGAGACUGCCGGUGACAAACCGGAGGAAGGUGGGGAUGACGAAGCAUGGCCCUUAUGGGUAGGGCUACACGAUACAAUGGGGGACAGAGGGGCCAACCCGCGAGGGGGAGCCAACCAGAAACCCUAAGCGGAUUGGAGUGCAACGACCAUGAAGGGAAGCUAGUAAUGCGCAGAAGCAUUGCUGCGGUGAAUACGUCCCGGGUGUACACACCGA
rnacentral:rRNA from 1 species